rnacentral:rRNA from 1 species
GUGCGCGAGUCAUUGGGACUUGAUAAACCUAAAGGCGAAAUGAAAGUAAAGGCGCGCCUCGCGCGCGCCUAGGGAGGAUGGGUCACGCCACGGCGCGGCCCCGCACUCCCGAGGCGUCUCGUGCUCAUUGCGAGCUGAGGCGCACUCAGAGCGUACACGCUGGGACCCGAAAGAUGGUGAACUAUGCCUGGUCAGGACGAAGUCAGGGGAAACCCUGAUGGAGGUCCGUAGCGAUUCUGACGUGCAAAUCGAUCGUCGGAACUGGGUAUAGGGGCGAAAGACUAAUCGAACCAUCUAGUAGCUGGUUCCCUCCGAAGUUUCCCUCAGGAUAGCUGGCACUCGCUUUUGCGAGUCUCAUCCGGUAAAGCGAAUGAUUAGAGGCAUUGGGGUCGAAACGGCCUCAACCUAUUCUCAAACUUUAAAUGGGUGAGAUCUCCGGCUUGCUUAAAGCAUGAAGCCGCGAGAUCGGAUCAGAGUGCCAAGUGGGCCACUUUUGGUAAGCAGAACUGGCGCUGUGGGAUGAACCAAACGCCGAGUUAAAGCGCCUAAAUCGACGCUUAUGGGACACCAUAAAAGGCGUUGGUAACUUAAGACAGCAGGACGGUGGCCAUGGAAGUCGGA